CAAACAGCGGCAGUGGUACUAUUUCCUGUCAGACUUCCGGAACCUGGUCAUCCCCAGCCCUCACCUGUACACUCGUAGACUGUGGUGAACCUACUGUUUCUGAACCUAACAGCGUGGUCAACUCCGGCUGUACGACUUACCUUUGUCCAAGGGCGUUCUCCUGUGUCAGUGGAUAUAACAUCGGUGGCAGCGUUUUUAUGAUCGUGUGUGAGGCUACAGGAUCGUGGCAAGGUAGUUCGUACUCCUGUACACCAGUUGAUUGUGGACCCCCACCAUCCUUAUCUGGAGGAAGUAUUGAUACCGACUCAACCACCACUACCUACCCGGUAUCCCGGACAUACACAUGUGACACAGGGUAUACUACAAACAGCGGCAGUGGUACUAUUUCCUGUCAGACUUCCGGAACCUGGUCAUCCCCAGCCCUCACCUGUACA